UUAUUUCUUUGUAAAAAAAAAACUAAAAGUUAAAAUUUCCUACUGCUGUGAUGAUCUAUGCCUAUCCUGAGAUAAUGUUUGAGGAAAAUUGCUCUCUUGUAAGAAACACAAAUGGACUUUAUCACUGCAAUCUCAGGUUAAUGUCAAUUUGGAAGUAAUUGUAUUGCAGUUCCUGCAUUGAAGUAGAGAACGGAGAGCUGUAGCAACUAGAAUAGAACCUUGCAGAUUUCAUUUUGGGUGUCGUCAUCAAAAUGAGCUAAAAUUCCACAAAGGUGAUUUUGUCCAUCAUGCAACCAAGUCUGCGACAAAUUGCCAAAAUUUUAUAUUCAGCUUGUUGUCAUUCUGCUCUUUUCCUUUCAAAAAUAACUCUAGUAAUAUUUUUGAAUACAAGUUUGAUAAUUAUAAGAUCAAACAAUUACCACGUCCAAAAUGUGAAAAGAAAGUACCUAAUGGCUGCCUGUAUUGCCGAAUGGCCAUGUUGGAAUUCCAAACCAACUUCAUGCAAUCAUAAUUCUAUCAUUUGUCACAAGGUACAUAUACCUAAUUUAGAUGAUCAAAAAAAUGAACAAAGAAAACUGCAAACCAUGCAAUGAAGGAUACGAGCAAUUUUAGAAGAGAAAACGAAAACCAAGAGAACGCAAAGUAAUCC